AGAGUUUGAUCCUGGCUCAGGAUGAACGCUGGCGGCGUGCCUAACACAUGCAAGUCGAGCGAUUCUCUUCGGAGAAGAGCGGCGGACGGGUGAGUAAUCGCGUGGGUAACCUGCCCUGUACACACGGAUAACAUACCGAAAGGUAUGCUAAUACGAGAUAAUAUGCUUUUAUCGCAUGGUAGAAGUAUCAAAGCUCCGGCGGUACAGGAUGGACCCGCGUCUGAUUAGCUAGUUGGUAAGGUAACGGCUUACCAAGGCGACGAUCAGUAGCCGACCUGAGAGGGUGAUCGGCCACAUUGGAACUGAGACACGGUCCAAACUCCUACGGGAGGCAGCAGUGGGGAAUACUGCACAAUGGGCGAAAGCCUGAUGCAGCAACGCCGCGUGAGUGAUGAAGGCCUUCGGGUCGUAAAACUCUGUCCUCAAGGAAGAUAAUGACGGUACUUGAGGAGGAAGCCCCGGCUAACUACGUGCCAGCAGCCGCGGUAAUACGUAGGGGGCUAGCGUUAUCCGGAAUUACUGGGCGUAAAGGGUGCGUAGGUGGUUUCUUAAGUCAGAGGUGAAAGGCUACGGCUCAACCGUAGUAAGCCUUUGAAACUGGGAAACUUGAGUGCAGGAGAGGAGAGUGGAAUUCCUAGUGUAGCGGUGAAAUGCGUAGAUAUUAGGAGGAACACCAGUUGCGAAGGCGGCUCUCUGGACUGUAACUGACACUGAGGCACGAAAGCGUGGGGAGCAAACAGGAUUAGAUACCCUGGUAGUCCACGCCGUAAACGAUGAGUACUAGCUGUCGGAGGUUACCCCCUUCGGUGGCGCAGCU
rnacentral:rRNA from 1 species